AACGAACGCUGGCGGCAUGCCUAACACAUGCAAGUCGAACGAGACCUUCGGGUCUAGUGGCGCACGGUUGCGUAACGCGUGGGAAUCUUCCCUUGGGUUCGGAAUAACAGUUGGAAACGACUGCUAAUACCGGAUGAUGACUUAAGUCCAAAGAUUUAUCGCCCCAGGAUGAGCCCGCGUAGGAUUAGCUAGUUGGUGAGGUAAAGGCUCACCAAGGCGACGAUCCUUAGCUGGUCUGAGAGGAUGAUCAGCCACACUGGGACUGAGACACGGCCCAGACUCCUACGGGAGGCAGCAGUGGGGAAUAUUGGACAAUGGGCGAAAGCCUGAUCCAGCAAUGCCGCGUGAGUGAUGAAGGCAUUAGGGUUGUAAAGCUCUUUUACCCGGGAUGAUAAUGACAGUACCGGGAGAAUAAGCUCCGGCUAACUCCGUG
rnacentral:rRNA from 1 species